AUGAGGUUUUUAAACUCACGUUUUAUUAAUGGGUAGGCAGGUAACAUGAUGAUUAGGAGUUCUGGCAUCAGAUUACUGGGUUGAAAUCCUGGCUUUGUCACUUGCUAGUGAGGAUGAAAUAAUAAAAUCCCUCUAAAAUACCUAGCUCAGCACCUGACACAUGGUUAUUACUUAAUUAAUGUUACAGGCAUUUGUGACCUAGAAAAGACAUAGUUUAAUGACUAUAUUUUUAGCCUUCAAAAAAUGCAAAUUCCAUGAUUUAUUUGAGUUCUCAUAUAUUAGAGAAUAUGUUAAUUGUCUCAGUUUGUUGUUUUAUUUUUUCUGCCCAGCAGUCUUUCAGUUGGUAGAGUGGACUGUUAAUUUAUCUAUUUCUCUGGUAUUUAGUUAUGCCAAUUUAGGGUAUUUGGAUUUCACAUAAUUUUCAAUCCUGUCUGACAUUUCAGAUGACAGUAGAAAGAAAACGUAGCACUUAUAGAUCUCUCCAUGUACCCUGCAGGGGGCUUGGUACUGUGAAAUGAGUAACUUAAUCCUGACAACCGUAGUGCAAGGUAUGGCCCAUCUCCUGUACGCUUGGAGCGACCUUUGGCUACGUGGCUGGCCUUGUUAUUUCACCACUCUGGAUAUACUGGAAUAGAAAGCAACUUACAUACAAGAACAAUUAACUGGAGCAAAGGGAGAUAUUUCUUUGUGCAGAUUCUGUAAGGGCUGGGCAGAAAUGUGUAUGGUCAAAGCCAAGCAGUUCCAUUUACAGCUCUGUUUUUUACGUAGUUACAACAUGAUGUGAUUGUAGCUUUUUAAACUAUGAAACCCCUGAGAGAUUGUACCUUCUAGUUGAAAUAAAGUAUUUAUAAUAGA
rnacentral:lncRNA from 1 species